GAAAGCCUGAUGCAGCAACGCCGUGUGAGCGACGAAGGCCCUAGGGUCGUAAAGCUCUGUUGUUAGGGACGAAGGGCGAAGGGUUAAUAGCCCUUAGCCUGACGGUACCUUUCGAGGAAGCCCCGGCUAACUACGUGCCAGCAGCCGCGGUAAUACGUAGGGGGCGAGCGUUGUCCGGAAUUAUUGGGCGUAAAGGGCGCGUAGGCGGCCUGGUAAGUCUGCUGUGAAACCUUGGGGCUCAACCCCAAGCGUGCAGUGGAUACUGUCAGGCUAGAGGAUGGUAGAGGCCAGU
rnacentral:rRNA from 1 species